rnacentral:rRNA from 1 species
AGUGAACGCUGGCGGUAGGCCUAACACAUGCAAGUCGAACGGCCGCACAGUAAGAGCUUGCUCUUACGGGUGGCGAGUGGCGGACGGGUGAGGCAUACAUCGGAAUCUACUUUUUCGUGGGGGAUAACGUAGGGAAACUUACGCUAAUACCGCAUACGACCUACGGGUGAAAGCAGGGGAUCUUCGGACCUUGCGCGAUUGAAUGAGCCGAUGUCGGAUUAGCUAGUUGGCGGGGUAAAGGCCCACCAAGGCGACGAUCCGUAGCUGGUCUGAGAGGAUGAUCAGCCACACUGGAACUGAGACACGGUCCAGACUCCUAAGGGAGGCAGCAGUGGGGAAUAUUGGACAAUGGGCGCAAGCCUGAUCAAGCCAUACCGCGUGGGUGAAGAAGGCCUUCGGGUUGUAAAGCCCUUUUGUUGGGAAAGAAAAGCAGCAGGUUAAUACCCCGCUGUUCUGACGGUACCCAAAGAAUAAGCACCGGCUAACUUCGUG